AUUGAACGCUGGCGGCAGGCCUAACACAUGCAAGUCGAACGAGUGGCGGACGGGUGAGUAAUGUCUGGGAAACUGCCUGAUGGAGGGGGAUAACUACUGGAAACGGUAGCUAAUACCGCAUACCAUCGGAUGUGCCCAGAUGGGAUUAGCUAGUAGGUGGGGUAACGGCUCACCUAGGCGACGAUCCCUAGCUGGUCUGAGAGGAUGACCAGCCACCCUGGAACGUAGCCACGGUCCAGACACCUACGGGAGGCAGCAGUGGGGAAGUUUGAACAAUGGGCGGAAGCCUGAUGCAGCCAUGUCGGGUGUAUGAAGAAGGCCUUCGGGUUGUAAAGUACUUUCAGCGGGGAGGCGUUACCCGCAGAAGAAGCACCGGCUACCUCCGUGCCAGCCGCCGCGGUAAUA
rnacentral:rRNA from 1 species